rnacentral:rRNA from 1 species
UACGGAGGGGGCUAGCGUUGUUCGGAAUUACUGGGCGUAAAGCGCGCGUAGGCGGACCUGCAAGUCGGGGGUGAAAGCCCGAGGCUCAACCUCGGAACUGCCUUCGAUACUGCGGGUCUCGAGUCCGGGAGAGGUGAGUGGAAUUCCUAGUGUAGAGGUGAAAUUCGUAGAUAUUAGGAAGAACACCAGUGGCGAAGGCGGCUCACUGGCCCGAUACUGACGCUGAGGUGACGAAAGGCGUGGGGAGCAAACAGG